rnacentral:rRNA from 1 species
UACGAAGGGGGCUAGCGUUGUUCGGAAUUACUGGGCGUAAAGCGCGCGCAGGCGGCUUUCCAAGUCAGGGGUGAAAUCCCAGAGCUCAACUCUGGAAUUGCCUCUGAGACUGUGAGGCUUCGAGGUACGGGAGAGGUGAGUGGAAUUCCCAGUGUAGAGGUGAAAUUCGUAGAUAUUGGGAAGAACACCGGUGGCGAAGGCGGCUCACUGGCCCGUUACUGACGCUCAUGCGCGACA